CGCCACCAGGACCACACCAUAAACCUUUUUUAUGCAGUUGCAAUCAGCGUCAGUAUAACAAAUGUAAAUCAUUUACAACUUUCAACAACGGAUCUCUUGGUUCUGGCAUCGAUGAAGAACGCAGCGAAAUGCGAUACGUAGUGUGAAUUGCAGAAUUCAGUGAAUCAUCGAAUCUUUGAACGCACAUUGCGCCCUUUGGUAUUCCAAAGGGCAUGCCUGUUCGAGCGUCAUUUGUACCCUCAAGCUUUGCUUGGUGUUGGGCGUCUUUUGUCUUUGGCCUCGCCCAAAGACUCGCCUUAAAACGAUUGGCAGCCGGCCUACUGGUUUCGCAGCGCAGCACAUUUUUGCGCCUGCAAUCAGCACAAGGACGGCAAUCCAUCAAGACUACAUUUUUACGUUGACCU
rnacentral:rRNA from 1 species